UAGGGAAUCUUCGGCAAUGGACGGAAGUCUGACCGAGCAACGCCGCGUGAGUGAAGAAGGUUUUCGGAUCGUAAAGCUCUGUUGUAAGAGAAGAACGAGUGUGAGAGUGGAAAGUUCACACUGUGACGGUAUCUUACCAGAAAGGGACGGCUAACUACGUGCCAGCAGCCGCGGUAAUACGUAGGUCCCGAGCGUUGUCCGGAUUUAUUGGGCGUAAAGCGAGCGCAGGCGGUUAGAUAAGUCUGAAGUUAAAGGCUGUGGCUUAACCAUAGUACGCUUUGGAAACUGUUUAACUUGAGUGCAAGAGGGGAGAGUGGAAUUCCAUGUGUAGCGGUGAAAUGCGUAGAUAUAUGGAGGAACACCGGUGGCGAAAGCGGCUCUCUGGCUUGUAACUGACGCUGAGGCUCGAAAGCGUGGGGAGCAGACAGGAUUAGAUACCCUGGUAGUCCACGCCGUAAACGAUGAGUGCUAGGUGUUAGACCCUUUCCGGGGUUUAGUGCCGUAGCUAACGCAUUAAGCACUCCGCCUGGGGAGUACGACCGCAAGGUUG
rnacentral:rRNA from 1 species